UUCGCCCUUUUCCGGUUGAUCCUGCCGGACCCGACUGCUAUCGGAUUGAGAUUUAGCCAUGCGAGUCGAACGCUUCCCUGUUGCGGGAGGCGUGGCGUACGGCUCAGUAACACGUAGUCAACCUGCCCUGGAGGCAUGGACAACCCCGGGAAACUGGGAUUAAUCCAUGAUAGGUCAUCUCAUCUGGAAGGAGAGAUGGCUUAAAGGGGUGCGAGAGCUUCUUUCUUGUAUCUGCUCCAGGAUGGGACUGCGGCCGAUCAGGCUGUUGGUGGGGUAAUGGCCCACCAAACCUGUAACCGGUACGGGCCUUGAGAGAGGGGGCCCGGAGAUGGACACUGAGAGAAGGGUCCAGGUCCUACGGGGCGCAGCAGGCGCGAAACCUUCGCAAUGCGCGAAAGCGUGACGAGGUUAAUCCGAGUGGUCCCCGCUGAGGGGAUCUUUUGUCGGCUGUAAAAAGGCCGGUGAAUAAGGGGAGGGCAAGUCUGGUGUCAGCCGCCGCGGUAAUACCAGCUCCUCGAGUGGUCGGGGCGAUUAUUGGGCCUAAAGCAUCCGUAGCCUGUUCUGUAGGUCCUCUGUUAAAUCCAACGGCUUAACCGUUGGCCCGCAGAGGAUACCGCAGGACUAGGAGGCGGGAGAGGUGGACGGUACUCCACGUGUAGGGGUAAAAUCCUUUAAUCCGUGGAAGACCACCAGUGGCGAAGGCGGUCCACCAGAACGCGCUCGACGGUGAGGGAUGAAAGCUGGGGGAGCGAACCGGAUUAGAUACCCGGGUAGUCCCAGCCGUAAACGAUGCAAGCUAGAUGAUCCGGUCGCAAAUCCCGAUCGGAGUGUCGCAGGGAAGCCGUUAAGCUUGCCGCCUGGGGAGUACGGUCGCAAGACUGAAACUUAAAGGAAUUGGCGGGGGAGCACCACAAGGGGUGAAGCCUGCGGUUCAAUUGGAGUCAACGCCAGGAAACUUACCAGGAGAGACAGCAGGUUGAGGGUCAAGCUGAAGACUUUACCUGACGAGCUGAGAGGAGGUGCAUGGCCGUCGCCAGCUCGUGCCGUGAGGCGUCCUGUUAAGUCAGGCAACGAGCGAGACCCAAAGGGC
rnacentral:rRNA from 2 species